GUAGCUACCUGGCAGGGGAGGACCAUGAUCAGAAGGUGGUUCUCCCAGGGCGAGGCUUGUCCCUUGCGCUCCAGGUGUGCUGACUCCUGCCAUUUCCCCAUGGGAAACGUGACCGAUCACUUGUGGUAGUGGGGGACUGCGUUCGCGCUCUCCCCUG
rnacentral:snRNA from 1 species